ensembl:lncRNA
AUAUAUAUAUAUAUAUAUAUAUUAGUGUUAGGUGGGUAUAAUGUCGACCAAGUACAGGAGCUUAGUUUAUUAUUCCAUUUACACCACUAACUACAAAGCACAACUGGGGUUGAUGGGAUUUCGGUUCUGCAGCUAUUUGUUUAAACCCACCGUUGCUACAAGGCCGACUUUAUGGAGCAGGCGCUCACGUCACUACGUCCACCAUAUUUUUAACACACACAGACACACAUCGUGUAGAUGUGCAGUCAACAGAUGUUUGUUGAUUUCUAUUCAUUUAUAAUUAGUGAUGUUUGUUAUUUUUCAUGCUCCGUGCCGGGAGUUAAGGACAUUUUAAGUGAACACGGAUUGUGAUACUUUAUCCAGAGUUUUUGUUCUAGAUCCCUGGUCGUUGUGGUUCAGUUGUAUGACAACAAAACAUGACAACAAAAACUGUAGUACAUUCCUGUAGUGCUCUUCAUUAUUUGCAUCAUAAGGAAUGUAAACAACAGCAACAGCUUGAUUUGACAUAAACAAUGUUACAAAUAUAUAUAUAUAUAUAUAUAUAUAUAUAUUUUAUUUUUUGCGUUUUAAGAUGGUCCAGUCUUAAUGAGCUGUCUUUGUCAAUCAAAAACAAAAAUUGAGGCUCAUGCCAUUUAAUCCGCCUGGACAAGGGUUGGAUGAGUUGACUUAAGACAAACAGUCAGACGGAGAAGAUGCUUUUCCCUGACGGAGAAAGAUAGGAAGAGUUGGAGGAAGUAUUAGAAGAAGUCCACAAAAUCAGAAAAAUAGUCGGAAAGAGGGUUUCAGAGAGACAGACAGACAGAUGAUGAGGAGGUGGUGGAGAGUUGAUGAAGUCAUCAAGACGUGUCGGAAAGAAUGGUGAGAAUGAGCCAUAACUGAGACACUGUGUUGCAAGACAGCGCUGCCUAACAUCACAGACACACAGACACAGACACACACACACACACACACACACACACAGAGAGAGAGCCACAAACGAAUGAGGGACGCACAGUAUCAGUAAUUUUUUUCUCUGGCCAAUGUCAUAAAGAAUUUGAAAAAACGGCACCACCAUGAUCACAUUUCCUGUCAUUUUAUUAAGAAAAUUAUUUUGAAUAAUAAUUUAAUAAAAAAAUGUCAUAGCUUGAAGCACCAAAUUACCACAUAAGUGUGGAGCAGGAGAAGUGUCUGGAGUUGGUUGCAAAAUACUCAAACACAUACAGAGAGGAGCAAUCAAACACACACACACACACACACACACACACACACACACACACACACACACACAAUGUCUCUGACCUCUAGUCCCAUCCUUCCUCCUUGUCCCUUGCUCCCAUCUUCCACUUCUUAUUUCACACUACAUUAUAGAGCAGCUUUCAUUUAGGUAUGAAUAUUAGAUAUCCCUUUUGAAUAAUGGAAAGAGACCUUAUGUGAGGAAUCUGCAGACAUAAGGAGAAAAUGGACAGUUGUACUGGUCGGUCUUCACUUGCACAUUUAAAAUAGUCCAAUAAAAUGACAUUUUCAGAUCCAAACUGUUCCAUUAAAUAAAAGAUUAACUUUAAGUGCAAGUCGAGGAGUGAGGUGUGUGUGUCUUCCCGUGUGUUUGGGAAGCUUCUUCAUUUUACGCUUCUAGGAGCAAGAAAAACUGCAAAUCCCGGUGAAAUACUUCAUUGCUGGUUUUUUCAACUGACAAUAUAAAACAACCGUUUAGAUGGCAAAAUAACGCUGUUUUGCACAUGAUGAAGGAUGGAGACGAGCACAGGUGAGGUUUGUAAAUUUACUUUUGGUCUGAUACUGUAAGAGAAAAGGGCAAAAUGAUUAGAGAGACACAGGAAAACAACAACAACAACAACAAAAGACCUGCAGGGACGAAGUCACUUUAAUUUGAGUCAUUCUGUGCCGUGUCUGCGAGGCAUGCGUGUGUGUUUGUGUGAGCACUUGAACCUUAUGGAGCACUUUAUUUUUACAGGAUAUUCAAACACCUGAAUUACUUGUUGCACAUGCUUGAAGAGCUCGAAGACACACACACGCAAUCUCAUGUAACAAACAAAACCUGCAUAAAUAAACACAUAAAACACACAUGGGGCCGUGCAGACAUACAUGCUUACAACACACCAAACCGCGCAAGAGGACGUCAUGCACAGCAUGACAGAAGGGAAAAGCAGCUUCUGGGAAACAGCAUCACAAAGUUCCUUCAACUAGUGGAAAAUGUGCCGUCUGUGGUUUUUCUGUGUGAAGGAUCAUUUAUUUUGUGUGACUUGUUUGUGCGUGCGCCUGUGAAUGAGAAACGCGCCUGGGACAAGCAGGGGUUGGUCGGACCGAAGAAGGUGCAACAAACAGGAAGCACAUGGUGGAAAGGCUACAAAGCUCACCUCAGAGCCACACACACACACACACACACACACACACACACACACACACACACACACACACAGGUUGAGUAGCUGUGGCAUAGUUAUGUUCGUCAACACAUUACUGGAAACCGGAGCUGUCGGCUGCUUGCUGCAUAUCUACUUGUACUUCCCGAGAGAGGUUUUUUAAAAAGGACACUUUGCAUGUAAUGACAGUGUGUUGACUCACCGUCUCAACAAGUCGGAAAAUAAUUCUGAAGGUGCGGGUGUACUUAGUGCAACGAUCUGCGCCUCCAAGUUUGGACGAGUGAGGAGUGUGAAUGUCUUGGUUGUAUCACAGGAAUAACACAUGUUAAAGAACAAAGCAAUGCAUGAGAGAGUAUAUAGAAUUUAGCUGCCUAAACUUCUACAAAAUGCAAAAGCCUGAUUUCUAACAAUGCAAACAUUGAAGCUUAAGAUACAUCUGCUGCUCUGGUAACUUUAUGCUGAGCUUUCAGCAGCCGAAAAAUGUUUGUUGAGUGCAAAUCAAGUCUCCAGCCAACAACUAAAACAUAAGAAAGCAGCUUCAAGGCAAAGAAAAUCUGACACGACUUCCCCAUCUGGGUAAACAACCAGUAUGAACCACUAACCUCGACACAACGCUCCGCUCCCACUAAACAAACGGCUUCACCGAUCGGGAUUCCCAGUCGGUGUCAGUUGUGCUCCAAAAGGCUUCAUCACUUCAUCAUCGCUGUUGACAAAACAGGACACACAAAUCACCUUAAACGCUUUGUGAAUUAGUGUGCUCUGUUCUGCCAGCGAGACAAAAGAAAUUUCCGCCACUCAUCUGGUAAACAAGCCAUCAGCUAUUGUUUUUACUGGAACAAAGUCGUAAUGAAAUAUUGUCGUGGAAACACAAUAUGUAAGGAAAGAGGGAGUGACACGGGCAAAAAUACAACAAUAUAGUGCCCAUAAUAUCAAAGUGGGAAAGAUACUUUACAGAAAAGUCAUUCAACAUCUAAGAUAGUGUGAAGAAGCUUGAUUGUUACUUCAUGUAAGCGUCGCUGGAUGAUGUGGAAAAGUGUUAUUAGAAGCUCCGCAGCACGAGUUUGACCUCUAUGGGUUAGUGGGUUUGUAUUUUAUUUACUUGAAUGUGUGUAUUUUAGUGCGAAACACGGUCUGUAAUCACAGAAGCAGACAGCACUGUGUGUGUGUGUGUGUGUGUGUGUGUGUGUGUGUGUGUUUGGCUGCAGACGCCCACAGGCAUGUUAUCUGCAGUAUGAAAGGAAGACUGUUCUCUGACGCUUCAGUCUGACGGCCAUAACUCACAAUAACUACACAGAUACAGACCCACAAAGCAGAUACUGUGUGUGGAUAAUGUGUGCGAUCACAGAAGCGAAGUGAACACGCGAUGACAAACACACAGACACACAAUGUUGCUAAAUAAAGUCCAGACUGACUGCCCCGGAUGCUGCUAAGCUCCAUAAUUUAUAGCGAGUGUCUGUGAACGUCUGACCCGUUUUUGAUGAUAUUGGUAGAAACUUCCAGACCAUAUUAUGAAUAAAUUAAUAAAAAAAUUUAACCCAUGACUUUUUUUCUAUAUUUUUGCCCGGGGAACAAUUAGGGGGUUAGGCGUGUUGCUGAAGGACACUUCGACAUGGGACACGGAGCAGCCGGGGCUGGAACCACCAACCUUGUGGUUCUCAGCGCACCUCAGCAAACCCCUGUGGCACCGUCGAGAUAAAACCUGCAAAACCCAAGACAAAUGUGUUGGGAGUCAAUCAUCAGUCAAACCGCCGUAAAACCAGAAGGUCAUUCUCAGUUGUUUGAGCAGUAAUAAAAUAUAUAUCAAAGAACAUAAUUGAUGUUCCUUUAGAAAGGGCCCAGGGAGGAAUAGGCCGGAUCGAGAGGUGAGUUUGCAGCAACCAACACAAACUCAAAAAUGUAGCUGAAACAAGGUGUUGAGAGGAAUAGAAAGAGUGAUUUUAUACUUAAGCAUAUGUAUUGAUCGGCCCGCUGUGGGUCCAGUGCGGCGGUUGUUAGAAUAACACUUUUCUAUUGUGAGAAUUACAGAGAGACAUAAAUUGCAUUUCUGUAAAAGUAGCUGCUAUUCCUUAAAAGUCCACUGGGGGUCGCACUCUGUGAGUGAGCUCAUGCGUUAGACCGGGAACCCGAUCGUUCCCCAACGCAGAGCCGGUAGAUCGCCUGCCAUUGAAAAAAAUCACGUCAGGUCAUCACGCAUGCGCCGUAUGGCGUUAUAUUUGUGCCACAAUCCUGAGCGCGUAAUUGUAAGUUUUGAGCACGGAGAACUAUGUUGUAGCAAAGAAAAACAUCCCGUGCGCGCAAAAACCCAGUUUGUGGCGAGGGCACUUGAGUAAACUGCGCGCACGGGAUGUUUUUCUUUGCUACAACAUAGUUCUCCGUGCUCAAAACUUACAAUUACGCGCUCAGGAUUGUGGCACAAAUAUAACGCCAUACAAAAAUGGAAAUUUCCAAGCAGACGUAGACGUCGAAGCACUGCCGGUUUAGUCAUGCUCAGAGCCGGGCGUGGUUGACCUCGUUUUCAGCAUCAGUCCUGCCUACAAUGAGCUCGAAACCACUUCAAAAUAAAACAGAAAUGUCCAGAAAUUUCAGACAACUUUUUACGAUGAUUUAUUUAACAACAACAUUGGAACGAUCAUAGAGUACAAGCAGAGCGCGCUGAUUAAAGUGAUAAAAGUAUAAUUUCGCUCAGACAAACCAUGGCGAACUUUCAGUACAAAACCCAUCAAGCCACGGAAGCGAAAAAUAAUGUGUGUCUUACCUUUGUUGUUUUUCACAGAAUUGAUGGUUUUUGCAAUGAGGUCUGAGAUUGUCACACAUUAAAGCACUUACAGGGGUCCCCCACAUUCAUCACACACACAUAAAGUAUUUUCUUCUUCUUAUUAUUAUUAGAGUUUUUAUCAUGCGUGUGCCAUUUUCGGAGAAGAAGCCAAAAAAGAGGCUCGUCCCUCAAGGGGUUAAGUCACAAGUCUGUGUAAUGUAAACUGGAUGUGAGGAGAAGCAGAGUGUGCGCGUGUGUGUUUGUUUGUGUGGAAGUAUGAAUAUGUGGGGAGAAGUCUGGAGAGUGGUUUCAGGGGGGACUUGACUUCCUGGUUCACCAACAGCGAGGAAGCCCUCAGUCGUCAAUGGCGGUCAAAGGGGAGCGCUGCAGAAGCGUCUUCUAUCGGCGCCUCCUCCACGAAUCCAAUAACCUCCACCGAUGCCUCGACGUUCACAAGAAGGGUUGCUUCUCCGGCCGCUCCUUUGGCACCAGAUGUAGAGAAACUGGAUAAUCAAUUUAGGCUCCUUCGUUUCACCCUCAGUCCUCUCGCUAUCUCUCUCUCUCUCUCUCUCUGCCAGUCAGCUGAGUGUUUUUCCCUCCCCCAAGCGCACAGGUGUGAUUAUUUCCGGCCCUUCCUAACCCCACCUGCUUUUCUUGAGGAGGUGGAAACGGGCCGGUAAAACGACACUAAAGAAACAUGCAUAGCUAAAUAACAUACACCCAUUCUGUCAAUAGAUCCAAGAUGCUUCACACCGGCCCUUUAAGACAUAUAUGGUGUUUGAUGUAUAAUGCCCCUUAGUUACAAGAUGCAUCGUCCCUCUGCUGUGCUUUAUGAAAAGUACAAUUUAAUCAGUGUAAUAGUUUUACACAAGACCACAUUGACACAAUGUUUCUCACAGUAUUUCCAACUUUGAAUGGAUCACAGAUUUUGCCGGUUUUUCAUUCAAGCAGUCCACCGUAUUAUCAGCAUUCAAAUGGAAAUCAGAGCAGUGUCUGUUGAUGUGCUUUAACAUUAACCACCAACAAUCUCUAUGGGGGGGAAAAGGGGAAACAACAAGAACAGAUCAUAAUUAAAACAGCUGAAGAUCACCAGGAUAAACGGGAUGAACGUGAAUGGUUUUCUCUGCGGUGCCCACUUUGCAUCAUCUUAAAUUUCCAUCAGGGACCUCAUGCUGUAAUUGGACCAGUGAAAGCAAGAUGGAGAAGGCAAGGGUCUGACUUGUGUGGGCAGGAGGAGUGUUAAAAAGCAUUUUGGAGCUAUUAACACCAUUUCUGUCCCUUCACAGCCUCUAAAAGCAAAGCAGUCAGACGCCGUCGUGUUCGGCGCUGUGUACUCCAAGUGUGUAUCUGUCUCCAACAGAAUGAGGGACAUGGUGUUGGAUGAAGAUGAGUCAACCUCGCACUCAUCUCUUGAAGAAGCCCUCCUUUCGCUCUGCGGGUCCAUCAUCGUCGUCUCUCUUUUCUAAAUUGUUAAUAUUCUCCCCAUUUUCCAUCUAUUGGGGAAGGAUUUAUUUAUCGUCUCUGCUGGUGUUUUCUCAAAUGAAUGAAUUUUCUUCUCUCCUUUUCUCCAUCUAGACAUACGCCUCCCUCCCUCCAUACCUUUCUCUACAUUUCCCUUUCGUUGUCCUGGCUUCUGGGCCCAAACUCUGAGCUGCAUUUCUGUGGGCUUUGCUUCUGAAUUCAUUCAUGAAUUCAUUUUGCCAACAUUUCCUUCCGUGGAUAAACCGGUAAUGACACAUGGACCGAACCCAUACAGAAAAAUAAUAGUGUGUAGAAAUGCUUAUUGUAAUUGUCAAGUCUGGUUAGUAUUUAGAUGCUGGAGAUACAUUCACCUCAUCGUCUACACUCACACUCCUCCGCACGCGCAAUUUGUGCAGACUGCCUCGGUCUGUCUGCUUGGAUGACUUCAUCUUUACUAAUGAAACGUGUUAGUGACAGAAACGCGGUACUAAUCCGGCCCUGGCUGCAGCGCUUAGCAGAAUUACGCACAAACAAAUGAGCAGAGAGGCAAACGGACUAAUAGGCAUUCAAAAAUACCGGAGACACUCUGUUGGAUUGACACCAGGAGUCUUAUGAGAGCUGGUCUGAAAUAGUGUGUUAUUUUUCCUUUCACAGUAAAAUACAGUGAAUUAGAUUUAUACAAGUUUGACGCUUCAAAGAAUUUUCCCCAUGAAAUAUUUGCCAAACCUCAAAGAUUUUCUAGGCACGUACAUCAGUUUUGUGUUCCUCAAGUCAGGCGAUUGAGAAGAGUUACUCGGAGUCGAGUCUGGAUAUCACCGCUGAUGCAAUGCUGACGUUAUAGACGAAAGACAAAGAUAACAAUCGCUCCCAUCUCGGACUAAAACCCAUCGGAAGCAUAUUCAGAGA